rnacentral:rRNA from 1 species
UACAGGCUUAACACAUGCAAGUCGAGGGGCAGCAUGGUCUUAGCUUGCUAAGGCCGAUGGCGACCGGCGCACGGGUGAGUAACACGUAUCCAACCUGCCGUCUACUCUUGGACAGCCUUCUGAAAGGAAGAUUAAUACAAGAUGGCAUCAUGAGUUCACAUGUUCACAUGAUUAAAGGUAUUCCGGUAGACGACGGGGAUGCGUUCCAUUAGAUAGUAGGCGGGGUAACGGCCCACCUAGUCUUCGAUGGAUAGGGGUUCUGAGAGGAAGGUCCCCCACAUUGGAACUGAGACACGGUCCAAACUCCUACGGGAGGCAGCAGUGAGGAAUAUUGGUCAAUGGGCGCAGGCCUGAACCAGCCAAGUAGCGUGAAGGAUGACUGCCCUAUGGGUUGUAAACUUCUUUUAUAAAGGAAUAAAGUCGGGUAUGUAUACCCGUUUGCAUGUACUUUAUGAAUAAGGAUCGGCUAACUCCGUGCCAGCAGCCGCGGUAAUACGGAGGAUCCGAGCGUUAUCCGGAUUUAUUGGGUUUAAAGGGAGCGUAGAUGGAUGUUUAAGUCAGUUGUGAAAGUUUGCGGCUCAACCGUAAAAUUGCAGUUGAUACUGGAUAUCUUGAGUGCAGUUGAGGCAGGCGGAAUUCGUGGUGUAGCGGUGAAAUGCUUAGAUAUCACGAAGAACUCCGAUUGCGAAGGCAGCCUGCUAAGCUGCAACUGACAUUGAGG